rnacentral:lncRNA from 1 species
AUCCUCCUACAUUCACCACCAUCCAAAUCUCUCUUCCGCUCACAGCAAAAACCCCGUAACCACGUCAAACCCCUAACCAUCGCUUCGUGACAUCACCAUCGCGUUGCUCUUCUUCUCUGCCGUCCAAACAACCACACCAACAAAAGCGACCCAUCUCGACCUCCUCAACCCAGCCCGCCGCUCUUGACUUCGCUUUCGCCGCCGUAAACUCCAAUCCAUCAUUUAUUUCUAGUCCG